UAGUUCAGAAGACUGGUGGGCUA
rnacentral:misc_RNA from 1 species